rnacentral:rRNA from 1 species
AUGUUUGCACUUAUAAAAAAAUGUUCAUGCUUUUCUAUCUUCAAAACUUCAAAAAAAAGUUCCAUUUUUGAUUUUUUGUUAACAAAUUCAAUUAAUGUAACAUGUUUCAGAUUUAAAAAAAUGUUCUUCUUUUCCAAAAAUUGUUCAAAAUUUCAGAAACAAUUCUCGUUUUUAAAAUUUGUUCACAUAUUCAAAAAAUUAUUCAUGUCUACAAAAAUAUAUUCAGAAAUUGAAAUAAAUGUUCUGAUGCGGAGCAUCCUAUACACUACAACUACUCCCCAAAGCCCAAGAGGACAUACGACAAGAGCUCGAGCAUAUGCCAUUGGACAUAAGGUGAACCCGCUCCUAAAUGCUUCCCCUUUCCAUUCACGCAAACACAUGGUUGCUAUCUAA